CUCUCUUCUCACAUGCGCAGAGAGUCGAGAAACGCGGGUAAUCCGCACGAGAUGAGAGGGGUGGAAGUGGAACGGAGAAGAGGUGCGGAGGAGGUGAAGGAGGUGGAGGUGGAAAGAGAGAGAGACGAACGAUACGUUGUUGAAAUCUCACACACAAACGAACGAUACGAACGAUACGAACGAAUAAAAAGAAAGAUGCGACGACGAAGAGAAAAAGAAAAAGAGUUAGAGAGCGACUGUCCGAUUGCGUAAUCUAUUUAUAUUGUUAUCUGCUGCCGGAGUCGCGUUGUUACGUCAGGACGGCGCCCCGGUGCAACGUGCGUGAAAGGAAAACAAAUUGUUGACAAAUAAUUUCGUUCGAUCUUAUAUCGUACGCUUGGUAGUACGCGUACACACACCAGAGAAAAACAUGACACGCCUUUAACGUUCAAUUUCUUAGCUAAGUCUUCUCGGUAAAAGGAAAAGAGAGAAGGAAGAUCGAAAAAGGAAGAGAAAGAAUAAAGAUGAUUUUCAAUGGUGGGAGACUCGAGAGGAACAGCGGAACGAGGGGAUGAAAGACGAGGAAAGAAGGAAACCUUCUAGAGCAUGCGCGCUUUACAUCUCAAGAGAAAAGGGAAAAAAAAAGAAGAAACGAAAAGAAAGAAGAGAGAAGAAAAGAAAAAGAAAACAAUAAAUAAUAAAAAAAAAAAAAA